rnacentral:lncRNA from 1 species
GCAGAGGCUGCGACGGGACCAUGACCGAUUAAAAGAAGAUGGAUGCACAGAGUUCAGCUAAAGUCAAUUCAAGGAAGAGGAGGAAAGAGGUACCUGGCCCUAAUGGAGCAACAGAGGAAGAUGGAAUUCCUUCCAAAGUGCAGCGCUGUGCAGUUGGUUUACGGCAGCCAGCUCCUUUUUCUGAUGAAAUUGAAGUUGACUUUAGUAAGCCCUAUGUCAGGGUGACUAUGGAAGAAGCCUGCAGGGGAACUCCUUGUGAGCGGCCUGUGAGAGUUUAUGCGGAUGGAAUAUUUGACUUAUUUCACUCUGGUCACGCCCGGGCUCUGAUGCAAGCAAAGAACCUUUUCCCUAAUACAUAUCUCAUCGUGGGAGUCUGCAGUGAUGAGCUAACGCACAACUUCAAGGGCUUCACUGUGAUGAACGAAAAUGAACGUUACGACGCGGUGCAGCACUGCCGUUACGUAGACGAGGUGGUGAGGAACGCCCCCUGGACUCUGACGCCCGAGUUCCUGGCGGAGCACCGG